ACAGUCAAAUCACGCUGAAACACCGGUUCUCGUUCGAUCACCGAAGUUAAGCAUCGUAGAGCCAGGUCAGUACUUAGAUGGGGGACCGCUUGGGAACACCUGGUACUGUAAG
rnacentral:rRNA from 1 species